CUACGGGGGGCAGCAGGCGGGAAACCUUUACAAUGCACGAAAGUGCGAUAAGGGGAAUCUAAGUGCUUGCCUACGGGUGAGCUUUUGUCAAGUGUAAAAAUCUUGACGAAUAAGUGGUGGGUAAGACCGGUGCCAGCAGCCGCGGUAACCCCGGCGCCACGAGUGGCAAUCGCGUUUAUUGGGCCUAAAGCGUCCGUAGCUGAUUUUCUCAGUCCUUUGUUAAAUCGUCUGGCUUAACCAGGCGGCCGCAAGGGAUACUAGAAGGUUAGGGAUCGGGAGGAGCCAGAAGUACUCCUUGGGUAGCGGUAAAAUGUGAUAAUCCUUGGAGGACUACCUGUGGCGAAGGCGUCUGGCUAGAACGAACCCGACAGUGAGGGACGAAAGCUAGGGGAGCAAAAGGGAUUAGAUACCCCUGUAGUC
rnacentral:rRNA from 1 species